CCUUUGUACACACCGCCCGUCGCUACUACCGAUUGAAUGGCUUAGUGAGGUCUCCGGUUUGGCGCUUGGGAGCUGGCAACGGCACCCGAGUGCUGAGAAGUUGACCGAACUUGGUCAUUUAGAGG
rnacentral:rRNA from 1 species